AAUCUUUCGCAAUGGGCGAAAGCCUGACGCAGCCAUGCCGCGUGAAUGAUGAAGGUCUUAGGGUUUUAAAAUUCUCUCACCUGGGAGGAUAAUGACGGUACCCUGAGCAGAAGCCCCGGCUAACUUCGUGCCAGCAGCCGCGGUAAUACGAAGGGGGCUAGCGUUGCUUGGAAUUACUGGGCGUAAAGGGCGCGUAGGCGGACAUUUAAGUCAGGGGUGAAAUCCCAGGGCUCGACGCUGGAACUGCCUUUGAUACUGGGUGUCUUGAGUGUGAGAGAGGUAUGUGGAACUCCGAGUGUAGAGGUGAAAUUCGUAGAUAUUCGGAAGAACACCAGUGGCGAAGGCGACAUACUGGCUCAUUACUGACGCUGAGGCGCGAAAGCGUGGGGAGCAAACAG
rnacentral:rRNA from 1 species